ensembl:lncRNA
GGAGUGACUGGUAUGGUAUGUCAGGGCUUUGCAUGAGCAGAUGGAGAACUGACAACGCAUGACUGCACAGCUGUGCUCAGGGCCACGUGUGUGCGGCCACGACUCCGGUCCUGCAUCAGGAAGCGGAAGAGGGAAGAUCUGGAUGGGACUGAAGCGGAUGAGAUGAAGAAUCUCUCGAGUGGAAGAAUACACAAUCCCUCCAAUGACCUCCGACGGCUGCACAUAAGGUAUGGCGUCAGACCAUGGGUGACCAGCCAGAGAGCACGCCGGGCCUUCGAGACAGCCACCAAGAGUCUGACUGACACAGAAGUAUCUUGCAAUAUAUCAG